AAUCAUGCAAUAGGGUGCGGAACAAUAAAAUUAAACAUAAAAAUUGAACAUUGUAAUUGUUCAAUGUUUAUACCUAGAAAAGUAUAAAAGAUGGGAUGUCGAAUGUGAAUGUUCUCUUUUUGCUGUGGAUUCUUGUACGUAAUAGUAGUGCGCGCGUGUGUAAAUGUUAUUAAAUUUUGAGAUUGUUAUUUGUUUAGUACAAACAUGCAAGUUAGUACGGAUUAAAAUCACCACAGUCUAAAACGGUGAUUAUUAGUACGAAAACGAAUUAAAAACCCAAG